rfam:Oryza glaberrima chromosome 6 Oglab06_0216_2, whole genome shotgun sequence.
AAUAAGUGUAAUUUUGCACUAUUCACGUUCAACAUUUGACCGUUCGUCUUAUUUGAAAUUUUUUUUUAUGAUUAGUAUUUUUAUUGCUAUUAAAUGAUAAAACAUGAAUAAUUCUUUAUAUGUGACUAAAUAUUUUUAAAUUUUUUAUAAAUUUUUCAAAUAAAACGGACGGUCAAAUAUUGGACACGGAUAUCCAUGGCUACACUUAGU